AGUGGAUGGGGAGCAACCUAGUUGUGCGUGUGUAAAGGUAGUGCCAAGAAAAGCGAUGAUCAUGUUGAAAAUCAAUUCCCGGUACCCGAAACCGACACAGGUGGGCAAGUAGAGAAUACUAAGGGGCGCGAGGUAACUCUCUCCAAGGAACUCGGCAAAAUGACCCCGUAACUUAGGGAGAAGGGGUGCCACCGAGAGGUGGUCGCAGUGAAGAGGCCCAGGCGACUGUUUAGCAAAAACAUAGGUCUCUGCAAACUCGAAAGAGGAGGUAUAGGGGCUGACGCCUGCCCAGUGCCGGAAGGUUAAAGAAGUUGGUCAGUUUUAGGAUGAAGCCAGCGACUGAAGCCCCGGUGAACGGCGGCCGUAACUAUAACGGUCCUAAGGUAGCGAAAUUCCUUGUCGGGUAAGUUCCGACCCGCACGAAAGGCGUAACGAUCUGGGCGCUGUCUCGGAGAGAGGCUCGGCGAAAUAGGAUUGUCUGUGAAGAUACGGACUACCUGCAUUUGGACAGAAAGACCCUAUGAAGCUUUACUAUAGCUUGGAAUUGUGUUCGGGCUUCCUGUGCGCAGGAUAGGUGGGAGGCGUAGAAGGUAUUCUUGUGGGGAUACUGGAGCCAACGGUGAGAUACCACUCUCAGGAGGCUAGAAUUCUAACUUAAUUAAGGACAGUUUCAGGUGGGUAGUUUGACUGGGGCGGUCGCCUCCAAAAAGGUAACGGAGGCGUACAAAGGUUCCCUCAGACUGGUUGGAAAUCAGUCGAAGAGUGCAAAGGCAGAAGGGAGCUUGACUGCGAGAAGUACAGUUCGAGCAGGGUGGAAACACGGUCUUAGUGAUCCGACGGUGCUGUGUGGAAGGGCCGUCGCUCAACGGAUAAAAGUUACUCUAGGAUAACAGGCUGAUCUCCCCCAAGAGUUCACAUCGACGGGGAGGUUUGGCACCUCGAUGUCGGCUCAUCGCAACCUGGGGCGGAAGUACGUCCCAAGGGUUGGGCUGUUCGCCCAUUAAAGCGGUACGUGAGCUGGGUUCAGAACGUCGUGAGACAGUUCGGUCCAUAUCCGAUGUAGGCGUGAGAAUAUUGAGAGGAGCCUUCCUUAGUACGAGAGGACCGGGAAGGACGCACCGCUGGUGUACCUGUUAUGAUGCCAAUUGUAAACGCAGGGUAGCCAAGUGCGGAGAGGAUAACCGCUGAAAGCAUCUAAGUGGGAAGCCCACCUCAAGAUGAGUAUUCUGGUGUAAGGUCACGGGAAGACGACCCGUAAAUAGGCACGAGGUGGAAGUGCAGAGAUGUAUGAAGCCGAAGUGUACUAAUAGACCGUCGGCUUGACC
rnacentral:rRNA from 1 species